rnacentral:rRNA from 1 species
UACGUAGGGUGCAAGCGUUGUCCGGAAUUAUUGGGCGUAAAGAGCUCGUAGGCGGUCUGUCGCGUCUGCUGUGAAAACUCAGGGCUUAACCCUGAGCUUGCAGUGGGUACGGGCAGGCUCGAGUUCGGUAGGGGAGACUGGAAUUCCUGGUGUAGCGGUGAAAUGCGCAGAUAUCAGGAGGAACACCGAUGGCGAAGGCAGGUCUCUGGGCCGAUACUGACGCUGAGGAGCGAAAGCGUGGGGAGCGAACAGG